UGCACAGUCUUUCGCUUUCACUUGCUGCCAGGGAGAGGAGCGGGUGUGCUUUCCAAGCCUUCAUCAACAAUGGAAAUAAAGAACUUCCAAAUUUUCUAGCACCCUGAUGGCAGACAGAAGCUGUGAUAUAACAUGGUGUAAGAGGUCAUUCUUUUACGCCGUUGCCUCAAGACUUGCUGAGGGACACAGAUGAACAAGUUCAAGCAAGUCCUGACCAGGGAUUGGGAAAUCAUUUGUCUGAAGGGACAACAGAUGGACAAGGCCAGGGGCAACGAGAGAGAGAUAAGUGGCAGCUAAAUGGCCAGGAAAAAGUCUUUUGUGUGGACUUAUCUCAAG
ensembl:lncRNA